rnacentral:rRNA from 1 species
AUUGAACGCCGGCGGCAUGCCUUACACAUGCAAGUCGAACGGUAACGGGCCUUCGGGUGCCGACGAGUGGCGAACGGGUUAGUAAUACAUCGGAACGUGCCCGAUCGUGGGGGAUAACGAGGCGAAAGCUUUGCUAAUACCGCAUACGAUCUACGGAUGAAAGCAGGGGACCGCAAGGCCUUGCGCGGACGGAGCGGCCGAUGGCAGAUUAGGUAGUUGGUGGGAUAAAAGCUUACCAAGCCGACGAUCUGUAGCUGGUCUGAGAGGAUGAUCAGCCACACUGGGACUGAGACACGGCCCAGACUCCUACGGGAGGCAGCAGUGGGGAAUUUUGGACAAUGGGCGCAAGCCUGAUCCAGCCAUGCCGCGUGCAGGAUGAAGGCCUUCGGGUUGUAAACUGCUUUUGUACGGAACGAAAAGCCUUCUUUUAAUACAGGAGGGUCAUGACGGUACCGUAAGAAUAAGCACCGGCUAACUACGUG